rnacentral:snRNA from 1 species
AUGGCUGACGCGGUUCAAAGUAUAGUAUCUGUUCUUAUCAGCUUAAUAUUUGAUACGGGUUUAUUUGGGCGUACGAUAUUAAACUUACUUUAUUAUUAUUUUUGCAAGUUGGCGGUGGGCUUAAAGCCUGCUUCAACUCCGCCGUGGGUCAGCCCGGUAUGGCACUACCUUCUGGAUCGCCCCACAUAUG